CACCAGGCCUGGGGACAGGGGCCGGCCACUGGGCCGGCCGCGAGGAGCUGUCCUCAUGGCGGCCGGGUCCAGCCAUAGCCCGGCAGCGCAGUGCAGUGGGCAGCCUGCCCCACCCGCCUGCUCCCCGUGCUGCCUCAGGCCUCAGGCCCUCAGCCAGAGCACCCUCCAAGGUCCCCCAGCCCAGCCACGCGGCCUCCUUGCGGCCCGAGUCACACCCAGGGCCUAGCCUGUCCCAUACCCUGUGCCAGCAGCGCCCCCUGCUGGCUCCGCAGCCCUCCGACUCGGCUGGCUGCACCGCCUCAGGGAAGCCCUCUGGGAUCUGCCUGCCCUGCUCUCUGGAGUGAGGACCCUCCCAGCACCGAGAUGGGGAGUUUGUGCAACUCCCACUGGGUCGGCCCAGACUUGCCUCCGUUUUUCCCCCGCAAGGGGAAUGUGUUAGGUAUUUCGCUUAUUUCGGUAUCUCCAAAACUCUUAGCACAAAAUCAGGCACAUAGGAGGCCUUGAAAAGAUCCUUGUUGGUUGACGUAUUGCUGAGUGAGUGAGCUGUGAUGGCGGCACAGGCCCUGGUCCUCAGAGCCUGAGGGAGUGUGUGCACGUGUGCAUGCAUGUGCGUGUAUGUGGGAUGUGCGUGUGUCUUUGUGUGCAUAUGUGAUGUGUGUGGUGUGUAUGUGGUGUAUGUAGGUGUGUGGUGUGUGUGGUGUGUGUGUGCUGUGUGGUGUGUGUAGGUGUGUGCUGUGUGUAGGUGUGUGCUGUAUGUGUGCUGUAUGUGUGGUGUGUGGUGUGUGUAGGUGUGUGAUGUGUGUGGUGUGUGUGGUGUGUGUGUGGUGUGCGUAGGUGUGUGCUGUAUGUGUGGUGUGUGGUGUGUGUAGGUGUGUGGUGUCUGUGGUGUGUGUAUAGGUGUGUGGUGUGUGUAAGUGUGUGUGCUGUGUGGUGUGUGUGUGCUGUGUGGUGUGUGUAGGUGUGUGCUGUAUGUGUGGUGUGUGGUGUGUGGUUGUGUGUGGUGUGUGUGGUGUGUGUGUGGUGUAUUUGGGGUGUGGUGUGUGUAGGUACGUGUGCAGGUGUAGCUCACACCCCGCCUCCCUCUAGUCCCCUCACAAGUAAGCAGGACCGUCAGGCGUCCCGGGCGGGGCAG
rnacentral:lncRNA from 1 species